AUUCCGCCUUGCCCCCACCCCUAUCACCAUCAUCCAGAAGAUCCGCAUCACCCAAUCCCAUAGUUCAAUCACCAAUUCCCAAAAACCCUACCUCAAUUUGAAUCUUGCAAAAGAUAAUUUACAUAAAAUGUCGAAUAAUUAGAGGUUGAACAAAUGAAUAAUUUGACCAAAUUAAGUGAAUUCAUGAGAAACGCGUAACUUUUAGAGANAAAUGUCGAAUAAUUAGAGGUUGAACAAAUGAAUAAUUUGACCAAAUUAAGUGAAUUCAUGAGAAACGCGUAACUUUUAGAGAGAGAGAGAGAGAGAAUAAGAUGUAGGAAAACUGUGAACCAGUUUCCUUGUAUUCCUAUCACUUUCUACCC
rnacentral:lncRNA from 1 species